AUUGAACGCUGGCGGCAUGCCUUACACAUGCAAGUCGAACGGCAGCACAGGGAGCUUGCUCCCGGGUGGCGAGUGGCGCACGGGUGAGUAAUACAUCGGAACGUGUCCUGUUGUGGGGGAUAACUGCUCGAAAGGGUGGCUAAUACCGCAUGAGACCUGAGGGUGAAAGCGGGGGAUCGCAAGACCUCGCGCAAUUGGAGCGGCCGAUGCCCGAUUAGCUAGUUGGUGGGAUAAAAGCUUACCAAGCCAACGAUCUGUAGCUGGUCUGAGAGGACGAUCAGCCACACUGGGACUGAGACACGGCCCAG
rnacentral:rRNA from 1 species